rnacentral:rRNA from 1 species
UACGGGGGGGGCAAGCGUUGUUCGGAAUUACUGGGCGUAAAGGGCGCGUAGGCGGUUCGCUAAGUUGAAUGUGAAAACUCUGGGCUUAACCCAGAGCCUGCAUCCAAAACUGGCGAACUGGAGUACUGGAGGGGAAAGCGGAAUUCCUGGUGUAGCGGUGAAAUGCGUAGAUAUCAGGAGGAACACCGGUGGCGAAGGCGGCUUUCUGGACAGUAACUGACGCUGAGGCGCGAAAGCCGGGGGAGCAAACAGG